rnacentral:tRNA from 1 species
GCUGGAGUGGCGGAACGGGAGACGCAGCGUGCUCAAACCACGUGGCCCUCGGGCGUGCAGGUUCGACUCCUGCCUCCAGCA